rnacentral:misc_RNA from 1 species
GGAAGUAAAAGUCGUAACAAGUUCUCCGUUGGUGAACCAGCGGAGGGAUCAUUACUGGAAUCGCAAGAUCCCACAACCCUGUGAACCUACCGAAACGUUGCCUCGGCGGGUGCCCGGCCUCUGCGCCGGGCGCUGCGCCCGCCGGCGGCCCCCUACUCUGUCUCUGCAGCGUGGCAUCUCAGAGUCCCAGAAAACAAGUCAAAACUUUCGACAACGGAUCUCUUGGCUCUA